rnacentral:lncRNA from 1 species
UGGCCUCUACAAAGCUUCUGGAAUGGUUUCUGCCAUUGGCAAAUGGCUCCGUGCUCCCUGACCAUGAUCUUGGUAAUUUAUUGAGCACCUACUGUAUGCUGGGCCUGUCCUGGGUGCUAGGGAUACAACAGUCAACAAGACACACAGAGUCUCUGCCCUCCUGGAAUACAUAUUCUAGACAGUCAGACACAAACAAGACACAAGGUGAUGUGAGGAGAGGGUCCUGGGGCAGGGGAGAUUCGGGGACUGAGUGGAGAGGGACUCCUGAGGAAGUGAAGGAGGGAACGGAGCUACUCAGACUAUCUGAAGGAAGAGGAGUGGCUCACAUCUAUAAUCCCAGCACUUUGAGAGGCCAAGGUGGGUGGAUCACUCGAGGCCAGGAGUUCGAGACCAGCCUGGCUAACAUGGUAAAACUCCAUCUCUACUAAAAAUACAAAAAUUAGCUGGGCAUGGUGGUGCACACCUGUAAUCCCAGCUACUCGGGAGGCCAAGGCAGGAGAAUCACUUGAACCCAGGUGGCAGAGGUUGCAGUGAGCAGAGAUUGUGCCACUGCACUCCAGCCUGGGCAACAGAGGAAGACUCUGUCUCCAAAAAAAAUGCAUUCCAGAUGGAGAGUAUGGUAAAUGUGCAAAGGUUGGAGGCUGGAAAGAAGGUCAGUGGCCUUGAGCCUGCUGAGGCAGGAAGGAGAGGUGGGUGAGAUUGGCUAGGCUGCCCCAGCAGGUCAGACAGAGCCUUGUGACUCCAGAUGAGGAGGCUAGAUUUUACCGCAAGUCCAUUUAGAAGCCACUGGAGGGUUUCAAGCAGGGAAGUAACAAGAACUAGGCCAGGUGCUCAUGCCUGUAAUCCCAGCACUUCGGAAGGCCAAGGCAGGAAGAUCAUUUGAGCCCAGGAGUUGUAGACUGGCUUGGGCAACAUGGGGAAACCCCAUCUCUACAAAAAAUAGAAAAAUUAGCCAGGUGUGGUGGCACCCACCUGUAGUCCCAGCUACUUAGGAGCCUGAGGUGGGAGGACCGCUUGAGCCCAUGAGGUCAAGACUGCAAUGAGUGAAGAUUGCAACACUGCAUGACAGAGUGAGACCCUGUCUCAAAAAAAAAAAAAAAAAAAAG